rnacentral:rRNA from 1 species
UACGGAGGGUGCAAGCGUUAUCCGGAUUUACUGGGCUUAAAGGGUGUGUAGGCGGGUCUUUUCGUCAGUGGUGAAAUCUCCGAGCUCAACUUGGAAACUGCCAUUGAUACUAUUGAUCUUGAAUUCUGUUGAGGUGGGCGGAAUAAGUCAUGUAGCGGUGAAAUGCAUAGAUAUGACUUAGAACACCAAUUGCGAAGGCAGCUCACUAAACAGAUAUUGACGCUGAGGCACGAAAGCGUGGGGAUCAAACAGG